rnacentral:rRNA from 1 species
UACGUAGGGGGCUAGCGUUGUCCGGAAUCAUUGGGCGUAAAGCGCGUGUAGGCGGCUCGGUAAGUCCGCUGUGAAAGUCGGGGGCUCAACCCUGGGAUGGCGGUGGAUACUGUCGGGCUUGAGUACGGAAGAGGCGAGUGGAAUUCCUGGUGUAGCGGUGAAAUGCGCAGAUAUCAGGAGGAACACCGGUUGCGAAGGCAGCUCGCUGGGACGUUACUGACGCUGAGACGCGAAAGCGUGGGGAGCAAACAGG